GACGAACGCUAGCGGCAGGCCUAAUACAUGCAAGUCGAACGGUGUAGCAAUACAUAGUGGCGCACGGGUGCGUAACACGUAUGCAACCUACCUUAUACUGGGGGAUAGUCUUUGGAAACGGAGAUUAAUACCCCAUAGUACAUUUAGAUGGCAUCAUUUGAAUGUUAAAGAUUUAUCGGUAUAAGCUGGGCAUGCGUCCAAUUAGUUAGUUGGUGAGGUAACGGCUCACCAAGACUUUGAUUGGUAGGGGAACUGAGAGGUUAAUCCCCCACACUGGCACUGGGAUACGGGCCAGACUCCUACGGGAGGCAGCAGUAGGGAAUAUUGGGCAAUGGAGGCAACUCUGACCCAGCCAUGCCGCGUGCAGGAAGAAGGCGUUAUGCGUUGUAAACUGCUUUUAUAUAGGAAGAAAUAGUCCUUGCGAGGAAAGUUGACGGUACUAUAUGAAUAAGCACCGGCUAACUCCGUGCCAGCCGCCGCCGUAA
rnacentral:rRNA from 1 species